rnacentral:rRNA from 1 species
UUCUGGCUCAGGAUGAACGCUAGCGGCAGGCUUAACACAUGCAAGUCGAGGGGCAUCGGGAGUAGCAAUACUUGGCCGGCGACCGGCGCAAGGGUGCGUAACGCGUGAGCAACAUGCCCGUAUCAGGGGGAUAAUCCAUGGAAACGUGGUCUAAUACCCCAAUAGUAAUUAUGUAAGGCAUCUUAUAUAAUUUAAAGCUUUGGUGGAUACGGAUUGGCUCGCGUGACAUUAGCUGGAUGGUAAGGUAACGGCUUACCAUGGCUACGAUGUCUAGGGGUUCUGAGAGGAAGGUCCCCCACACUGGAACUGAGGCACGGUCCAGACUCCUACGGGAGGCAGCAGUGAGGAAUAUUGGACAAUGGAUGGAAAUCUGAUCCAGCCAUGCCGCGUGACAGGAAGACGGCCCUAUGGGUUGUAAACUGCUUUUGUAUGGGAGCAAUAAGGGCUACGUGUAGUCCGAUGAGAGUACCAUACGAAUAAGCACCGGCUAACUCCGUGCCAGCCGCCGC